rnacentral:lncRNA from 1 species
AAUAGGAACUGUAACUGGUAUUCCUGUGAUCGGUUUAAUAGGCAUUUUCUUUUAUGGUUCAUAUUCCGGAUUAGGUUCGUCCUUGUAGUAAUCGAAUGAACUGCGUUAUAGACAUAAAAGCGUAAGAACUCAAGGUACCCUGUCGUUCCCGUGCUUUGUCUGAUUCGAGGGGUAGGGCCAGGGCCCCUUGAGUUCUUAAUAAACAUAAUAUUUUGGUUUGCUCGUAUAAAUGGAAAAAAUGGAUCGCUUUUUCCGAUGCUUCAAAAAAAUCCAUUUCAUUUUUUUCUGAUUUCUGAUGAUUUUUUUUAUUAACUUGCUUAAUUGAUUCAGAACCGCUGUUCCCCGAGAGUCUCUAUCGAUACU